GGUGUGUUCAGGUGUGUCCCAGGUGUGUUUGGGUGUGUCUCAGGUGUGUUUGGGUGUGUCCCACACUCACCUUGCAGGUGUCCCCGCCCCCGCCCAGGUGUCCGGCACACACCAUGGCCCAUCCCAGCUGUACCCAGCUGUACCCAGGUGUACCCAGGUGUGUUUGGGUGUGUCCCAGGUGUAUCAGUCUCACCUUGCAGGUGUCCCCGCCCCCGCCCAGGUGUCCGGCACACACCAUGGCCCAUCCCAGCUGUACCCAGGUGUAUCCCAGG